rnacentral:tRNA from 1 species
AACGAAAUAGCUCCGUUGGGAGGGCGUUAGACUAUAGAUCGAAAGGUCCCUGGUUCGAUCCUGGGGUUCGGCA